rfam:Picea glauca, whole genome shotgun sequence.
GCGUGCAAUCAUACCAACAUUAUUGAACCAGAUCCCAUCAGAACUCCAUAGUUAAGCCCGCUUGGGUUAGAGUAGUACUAGGAUGGGUGACCUCCCGUGAAGUCCUAGUGUUGAACCCU